GGGCAAGUGGCGGAACUGGUAGACGCGCAGGUCUCAAAAACCUGUCCCGGUCACGGGGUGUGGGUUCAAAUCCCUCCUUGCCCA
rnacentral:tRNA from 2 species